rnacentral:rRNA from 1 species
AGCGGCGGACGGGUGAGUAACGCGUGGGUAACCGUGCCUCAUACAGGGGGAUAACAGUUGGAAACGGCUGCUAAUACCGCAUAAGCGCACAGUACCGCAUGGUACGGUGUGAAAAACUCCGGUGGUAUGAGAUGGACCCGCGUCUGAUUAGGUAGUUGGUGGGGUAACAGCCUACCAAGGCGACGAUCAGUAGCCGGCCUGAGAGGGUGAACGGCCACAUUGGGACUGAGACACGGCCCAA